GACCAGAAUGUCUAGUAUAGCACUUUAUACUGUGAACUGCGAAUGGCUCAUUAAAUCAGUUAUCGUUUAUUUGAUAGUACCUUACUACAUGGAUACCUGUGGUAAUUCUAGAGCUAAUACAUGCUAAAAACCCCGACUUCGGAAGGGGUGUAUUUAUUAGAUAAAAAACCAAUGCCCUUCGGGGCUCCUUGGUGAUUCAUAAUAACUUAACGAAUCGCAUGGCCUUGCGCCGGCGAUGGUUCAUUCAAAUUUCUGCCCUAUCAACUUUCGAUGGUAGGAUAGUGGCCUACCAUGGUGGCAACGGGUAACGGGGAAUUAGGGUUCGAUUCCGGAGAGGGAGCCUGAGAAACGGCUACCACAUCCAAGGAAGGCAGCAGGCGCGCAAAUUACCCAAUCCCGACACGGGGAGGUAGUGACAAUAAAUACUGAUACGGGGCUCUUUCGGGUCUCGUAAUUGGAAUGAGUACAAUCUAAAUCCCUUAACGAGGAACAAUUGGAGGGCAAGUCUGGUGCCAGCAGCCGCGGUAAUUCCAGCUCCAAUAGCGUAUAUUAAAGUUGUUGCAGUUAAAAAGCUCGUAGUUGAACCUUGGGUCUGGCUGGCCGGUCCGCCUCACCGCGAGUACUGGUCCGGCUGGACCUUUCCUUCUGGGGAAUCCCAUGGCCUUCACUGGCUGUGGGGGGAACCAGGACUUUUACUGUGAAAAAAUUAGAGUGUUCAAAGCAGGCCUUUGCUCGAAUACAUUAGCAUGGAAUAAUAGAAUAGGACGUGCGGUUCUAUUUUGUUGGUUUCUAGGACCGCCGUAAUGAUUAAUAGGGAUAGUCGGGGGCGUCAGUAUUCAGCUGUCAGAGGUGAAAUUCUUGGAUUUGCUGAAGACUAACUACUGCGAAAGCAUUCGCCAAAGGAUGUUUUCAUUAAUCAGGGAACGAAAGUUAGGGGAUCGAAGACGAUCAGAUACCGUCGUAGUCUUAACCAUAAACUAUGCCGACUAGGGAUCGGGCGGUGUUUCUAUGAUGACCCGCUCGGCACCUUACGAG
rnacentral:rRNA from 1 species